rnacentral:lncRNA from 1 species
GAGGACUAUAAAUUGGUGUUGGAGGCUUCUGCACAGGUGGUGGAAGUACAGGUGGACUGUAUGUGGGCGAUGGAGGCUUUUGUAUUGGUGGUGGUAUUACAGGAGGACUGUAAGUUGGUGUCGGAGGUUUCACUGGAGGUGGUUUAACAGGUGGGCUAUAAGUUGCUGUUGGAGGUUGUUGCACUGGUGGUGGCUUUAUAGGUGGGCUAUAAGUUGGUGUUGGAGGUUUUACUGGGGGAGGUUUAAUAGGUGGACUGUAGGUUGGUGUUGGAGGCUUCUGCACUGGUGGUGGCUUUACCGGAGGACUAUAAGUGGGAGUUGGAGGCUUUUGCACAGGUGGUGGUUUGAUAGGAGGGCUAUAAGUUGGUGUUGGAGGUUUUUGCACGGGUGGUGGUUUGAUAGGAGGACUGUAAGUUGGAGUUGGAGGCUUUUGCACGGGUGGUGGUUUAACAGGUGGACUAUAAGUGGGUGUUGGAGGUUUCUGCACCGGUGGUGGUUUUACAGGAGGACUAUAAGAUGGUGUCGGAGGUUGUUGCACUGGUGGUGACUUUACGGGAGGACUAUAAAUAGGUGUUGGAGGCUUCACUGGUGGUGGUUUAACUGGUGGACUGUAGGUCGGUGUUGGAGGCUUCUGCACUGGUGGUGGCUUUAUCGGAGGACUAUAAGUGGGAGUUGGAGGCUUUUGCACUGGUGGUGGUUUGAUAGGAGGGCUAUAAGUUGGUGUUGGAGGUUUUUGCACGGGUGGUGGUUUGAUAGGAGGACUGUAAGUUGGUGUGGGAGGCUUCUGGACGGGUGGUGGUUUAACAGGUGGACUAUAAGUGGGCGUAGGAGGCUUUUGCACUGGCGGUGGUUUUACAGGAGGACUAUAAGUUGGUGUCGGAGGUUUUACCGGAGGUGGUUUAACUGGUGGGCUGUAAGUUGGUGUUGGAG